UACGUAGGGUGCAAGCGUUGUCCGGAAUUAUUGGGCGUAAAGAGCUCGUAGGCGGUUUGUCGCGUCAUGCCGUGAAAGUCCGGGGCUCAACUCCGGAUCUGCGGUGGGUACGGGCAGACUAGAGUGAUGUAGGGGAGACUGGAAUUCCUGGUGUAGCGGUGAAAAUGCGCAGAUAUCAGGAGGAACACCGAUGGCGAAGGCAGGUCUCUGGGCAUUAACUGACGCUGAGGAGCGAAAGCAUGGGGAGCGAACAGG
rnacentral:rRNA from 1 species